UGAACGCUGGCGGCAUGCCUUCCACAUGCACGUCGACCGGCAUCGCGGGAAAGCUUGCUUUCCUGGCGGCGAGUGGCGAACGGGUGAGUAACACAUCGGAACGUACCGGCUAGUGGGGGAUAACCCGUCGAAAGACGGGCUAAUACCGCAUACGCUCUUCGGAGGAAAGCAGGGGACCUUUGGGCCUUGCGCUAGCCGAGCGGCCGAUGUCCGAUUAGCUAGUUGGUGGGGUAAAGGCCUACCAAGGCGACGAUCGGUAGCGGGUCUGAGAGGACGAUCCGCCACACUGGGACUGAGACACGGCCCAGACUCCUACGGGAGGCAGCAGUGGGGAAUCUUGGACAAUGGGGGCAACCCUGAUCCAGCAAUGCCGCGUGGGUGAAGAAGGCCUUCGGGUUGUAAAGCCCUUUCGGCAGGGAAGAAAUCGGCGGGGCGAAUAACCCUGCUGGAUGACGGUACCUGCAGAAGAAGCACCGGCUAACUACGUG
rnacentral:rRNA from 1 species